GACGAACGCUGGCGGCGUGCUUAACACAUGCAAGUCGAACGGUAAGGCCUUUCGGGGUACACGAGUGGCGAACGGGUGAGUAACACGUGGGUGAUCUGCCCUGCACUUCGGGAUAAGCCCGGGAAACUGGGUCUAAUACCGGAUAGGACUGCGCGGUGCAUGCCGUGUGGUGGAAAGAUUUAUCGGUGCAGGAUGGGCCCGCGGCCUAUCAGCUUGUUGGUGGGGUAAUGGCCUACCAAGGCGACGACGGGUAGCCGGCCUGAGAGGGCGACCGGCCACACGGGGACUGAGACAGGGCCCAGCCCCCUGCGGGGGGAGCAGGGGGGGAAUAUGGCCAAAGGGGCGCAGGCUGGAUGCAGCGGCGCGGGGGGGGGAAUGCCGGCUUUCGGUUUGAAACCUUCUUCCAGCGGGGACGAAGGGGGAGGGAGGGGCCCUGAAAAAGAAGACCCGGCAAACUAGGUG
rnacentral:rRNA from 1 species